AAAGCUUUGGUCGAUAGUGUGAUCGAUAUCUUUGACUUCUGGUGAUCCUUAAACUAGUUAGGCAGCACUGAAAGGAAAUGGAAAGGAAAGGGAGUAAGCAUAAAGCUUAGUAAGUUGCAUAUAAAUAAGUAUACAACAACAAUUUAUCCAUAAUCAACAUGCUCAUAACACCAAAGUAGGCAUAAGUGUAACUUACUCAUUACCAUCCAUACAAGUCACCUAUUAUAUUUAUACUAAGCUCAUAUCUCAUACAUACCAAUUAGGUACCUGUACCAUUCAUAACACGGUUAUACUUUCCUUAUUAGUUUAAGAACAAAACAUUCACCGUUGAACCAUUUGGAACACUAGCGGAUAUUCAUUAAGCCUCAAACGUGGGUAAGGCACCGAAGUCAUGUCCUAGACAUGGUCUUACACUAGCUCACAUCUCAAUUUGAUGCCAUGUUCCAGACAUGGUCUAACACUGACUAUCAUCUCGUAGCUGAUGCAUGUCCCAGACAUGUCUUACACUGGCUUAUGUCUCAAGGCCAAUGCAUGUCCCAGACAUGUCUUACACUAGCUCUCAUCUCAAUGCCGAUGCCAUGUCCUAGAUAUGAUCUUACACUGGCUCUCAUAAUAUGGCCAAUGCAUGUCCCAGACAUGUCUUACGCUAGCCAACAACAACCCAUAAGUCACGGCAUGAAUAUCCGAUUUAUUUUCUAGGUCAAAUAGGAACUCUGCUAUCUCUAUUAUCAUCACACCAUCUCAAUUCCACAAUCAAGAAAAUCAUGCUAUAUUAAUUAAAUAACAAUUCAACACAUACAUUAGUAAAGUAGUUGUAUUAUUUACAUACAACUUACCUCGGAUUACAAAAUGUGGCGACUAGUUGGUUUAGUCAAUUUGCUUAGUUUUUUCCUCGGUCUAGGUUUGGAUUUGGUAAUUCUUGAUCUAAAAUAGAAAAAUGCACUCAUUUAAUCACUAAAUAAAAUUAAGCAAUUAAAAAUUCACAGCUUCAGUAAAAUGACCAUUUUACCACUAGACUUUGGCAAAAUGACCAUUUUACCCCUAUGCCUGAAAAUUGAUUUUUAUCAAAUUUUUUCACAUCUUAAGCCUAGUUGAACCCUUUUUACUCUUAUAACAACCCCAAAUUCUCUUUAUUUCACACAUUUAUAAUUCAUUUUACAACUUGUGCAAAAUGGUUCCUUUAGGUGUUUUCAUGGUAACACCUUUCCCAAAAGUUGUCUAUUACACAACUAAGACUCAUAUUCUUCCAUAGAAUUUAGAAAACACCCUAAAUUCUCUCAUGGAAAAACCCUAGACUUUCAACCAUAUUGUAAGAUAUACCCCUCAUUUGAAAGCUCAUGCUUCAAGGGUCUCAAAAAUACAAAAAUCAUCAACAAAUGACAUGGAAAUCACUUGUGACUGCUUCAAGUUGCUAAAAAUUUUAAGCUCUCAGACCCCCUUUAAUGGCCCAUUUUUGGUGGAGAAAAGAGAUGAGAAAGGGAUGAUAUCAUCCUUCUUUAAUUUAUUUCUAUUUUUAGUAAAAAAGUCACCUAACCCACAAAAUUUUGACAAUUUGACUACCUUUGUCUCCUAUGGCUGGGAGACCAAUCUCAAUAGGGUCUAAUUUCCCUUUAAAUACCCUCAAUUUUGGUUUUCUAACUAUUUGACACCUUUAGCUAUCAAUUUAGGACUUUUGCACUUUAUGCGGUUUAGUCUUUUUUUGCAAUUGGGCUCACAAACGUCAAAAUUAACUCACCAAAUUUUUCAUGUACUAUUAUAAAUGUGCUAUGACUCUAAAAUAAUAAUAAAAUAAUUACUCCAACUUUGAAUUUUUGGUCCCGAGACCACUAUUCUGACUAGCCCCAAAAUCAGGAUGUUAUAGACAGAAUCCGUAAACAAAGGGGCUGAGGAAUUCUGGGCGAAUAUUGAUGAUGACCUAGAGAGAGAAAAAUUUUGGUUAGAAAAUACCAUUGGGGUAUUUGAUGAGCUAUCAUGCAAACGUAGUGUCACUCCUGCGAGAUUCAGCUUAUCAAUGGUGGAACAUUCUCGUGUCAAUCGUACCGAGAGAGUGAGUAACUUGGGGAUUCUUUCAGGAAGAAUUCCAAAAGAAGUACAUUAGUCAUAGGUUCAUUGACCAAAGGAGGAAAGAAUUUCUAGAACUAAAGCAAGGCCGUAUGACUGUAACAGAGUAUGAACGUGAGUUCAUGAGGCUCAGCAAAUACAUUAGGGAGUGUGUAACUACCAAAGCCAUCAUGUGCAAGAAAUUUGAGGACGGAUUGAACGAAUAUAUCUGAUUAUUAGUUGGCAUCUUAGAAUUGAAGGUAUUUGUAGUGCUCAUAAAGAGAGCAUGUAAGGCCGAGGAAUUGGCCAAAGAGAAGAGAAAAGCUGACAUCGAGUCCCGAGACUCAAGGAAAAGAUAGAUGGUGGAAAUUACAUCAGUCCUCAUCUAAAAAGAUCGAGAGAGUUCACUACCCAAUCGAAUGCUUCAGUAGAGUUUUUGAGUAGAAAGAAGAACAAGCAACAAAUGACGUCGAAAGCUAAAACUACUUCUGUUGCGAGUGUUGGUAGUGGUUGCCUGAAUAGACCAGAAUGUUUACAGUGUGGCUGACGUCAUUUCGGUGAAUGCUGAGGAAAUGAAAGAGGCUAUUUUACGUGGGGGUCAUCGGACCAUUUUAUUCGUAAUUGUCCCAAGUUGAAUGAGAAAGAGAAAAGCCAAGACGUGAGGGCGAGUAGUGCUCUUUCAAAGGGUAGACCACAUAAGAGCCUUGGAAGUGGGGCUAGUAGUAGAGGUGUGCCAAGAGAUGCUACAGUGAGGUCCAAAGGUAGAGCCCCUGCAAGGACUUAUGCUAUACGUGCCUGUGAAGAGGCAGAGUCUCCCGAUGUAAUCACGGGUACCUUUUCUAUCCAUAAUAUAUCUAUUGUUGCUUUAAUUGACCCAGGGUCUACCUACUCUUAUAUUUGUAUGGAAUUGAUACCUCAUAUGAACAUGCUAAUACAGUCCGCUAAAUUUGUGGUAAAGGUGUCCAACCUUUUAGGUAGACAUGUGUUAGUUGACCAAGUGCGUAGAAAUUACCCUUUGACAAUUAGAGGUCAUUUUUUUUGGCUAAUUUGAUGUUAUUGCCAUUUAAUGAAUUUGAUGUAAUCUUUGGGGUGGAUUGGUUGACUUCUCAUAGUGUUGUAGUGGACUGUGGGAGAAAAGUUAUUAAGUUGAAGUGUGAAAGUGGGGAUGUUCUUCGGGUUGAAUCGGGUAGAACGGAUAACUUGCCUGUGGUGAUAUCAUCCAUGUUGGUAGUGAGAAACUUGAGAAAAGGAUAUGAGGCUUACCUCACUUUUGUGUUGAAUACCCAAAUGUCUGAGCCGAAGAUUGAAUCGUACCAGUGGUAUGUGAGUUUACGGACGUGUUUUAGGAGGAAUUACCUGGAUAGCCUCCAACCAGAGAAGUUGAGUUUGGUAUCGAGUUAGCCCCUGGUAUGGCACCUAUCUCGAUUACUCCGUAUAGAAUGGCUCCAAUGGAGUUAAAGGAGUUGAAGACUCAAUUACAAGAGUUAACGGAUAAAGGCUUUGCAAGACCGAGCUAUUCACCGUGGGGUGCUCCAGUAUUUUUUUGUGAAAAAGAAAAAUGGGUCGAUAAGAUUGUGCAUAGACUACCGAUAGCUCAAUAAGGUGACCGUGAAGAAAAAGUAUCCCUUGCCAAGAAUCGAUGAUCUGUUCGAUCAGUUGAAGGGAGCCACCAUGUUUUCUAAGAUAGAUUUAAGGUCAAGGUACUACCAGUUAAGGGUUAAGGAGCAAGACGUACCGAAAACUACUUUUUGGAUGAGGUACGGCCAUUAUGAGUUCCUCGUCAUACCCUUUCAUUUAACGAAUGCCCAUGUGGUAUUUAUGGAUUAAUGAACCGCAUUUUUUAACCCUAUUUGGAUAAGUUCGUCCUCAGUUUUAUCGGUGACAUAUUGAUUUAUUCGCGUGAUGAGAGCGAGCACGUGGAGCAUUUGAGAACGGUUCUACAAACCUUGAGAGAUAAGCAGUUAUACGCCAAGUUCACUAAGAGCAAAUUUUGGCUGCGAGAGGUCGAAUUCUUGGGACACAUUGUGUCGGGUGACGGGAUCAGAGUUGACUCGAGUAAGAUCUCGGCUAUUGUUGAGUGGAAAUCACUGAGGAAUGUGACAGAGGUUCGAAGCUUUCUGGGCUUAGCUAGGUACUACAGAGGAUUUGUUAAAGGAUUCUUGAUAAUAGCUACUCCGAUGACAAGGUUGUUACAGAAGGAUGCCAAGUUUGAAUAGACAGAGAAGUGCCAACAGAGUUUCGAGAAACUAAAGGUUUUGUUGACCAAAGCCCUAGUUUUAGUGCAACCGGAACCGAGAAAAGAGUUUGUGGUGUAUAGUGGUACAUCCUUGAAUGGGUUAGGGUGUGUGCUUAUGCAAGAAGGCAAGGUAAUAGCCUAUGCCUUGAGAUAGAUAAAGCGACACAAGAAGAAUUAUCCGACCCAUGAUUUGGAGCUAGCAGCCAUCGUGUUCGCAUUAAAAAUUUCAAGACACCAUUUGUAUGGUGAGAGAUGCCGAGUGUUCUUCGACCAUAAAAGCCUCAAGUAUUUGACGAAUCAGAAAGAGUCAAAUCUACGACGACGAAUAUGGCUAGAGUUGAUAAAAGAUUAUGAGUUGGUGAUUGACUACCACCCUAGAAAGGCUAAUGUAGUAGCCGAUGCAUUGAAUAGGAAAUCAUUGUUCGCCUUGAGGGCUAUGAAUACUCAAUUAACCAUGAUUGAUGAUGGCUCAAUUCUAGCCGAGAUAAGCGCUAGACCUACAUUUCUUUAAGUGAUUUGUGAGGCUCAGAAAGGUGAUAGAGACUUACAAGCUAAAAUGGCUCAGUGUGAGACGGGAAACGAAUCAGAGUUUAGUAUUGGUACCGAUGGUUGUAUAAUAUACCGAGAUAGAAUUUGUGUACCCAAGAUAAUAAGCUCAUUCAGAAGAUUUACGAAAAGCACAUAGUGGUUGUUUGUCUAUCCACUCGGGUAGUGUGAAAAUGUACAAUGACUUGAAGAAAAUGUAUUGGUGGUCGGGAAUGAAAGGAGACAUUUCAGAGUUCAUUUCUAAGUGUUUAAUUUGUUAACAAGAAAAAGCCGAACACCAAGUAAGUAACCAUGGAUUUUGUAUCAGGGUUACCAUUGAUGCCAAGGAAAAAGGAUUUCAUUUGGGUUGUUGUUGAUGGGCUUACAAAAAUGACAUAUUUUGUAUAGGUGCGUAUCGAUUAUUCCCUUGAGAAAUUGGUUGAAUUGUAUGUUUUCGAGAUCGUGAGAAUUCAUGGAGUACCUUUGUCGAUUAUUUUGGAUAGAGAUCCGAGGUUUACCUCACGAUUUUAGAGGAAGUUGCAAAAGGCAAUGGGGGCGAAAUUGAAUUUUAGCACGACUUUUCACCCCAAACUGAUGGUCAGUCAGAAAGGGUGAUUCAGAUCCUAGAAGACAUGUUACGGUGUUGUGUUCUCGAGUUUCAAGGCAGUUGGGAAAGGUAUUUACUGUUGGUCGAAUUCACCUACAACAACAGUUAUCAGUCAAGUCUGAAAAUGGCGCCUUAUAAGGCUUAGUAUGGGCGUAAGUGUUGAACACCCUUGUAUUGGACCGAGCUGAGAGAGAGUCAAAUACACGGGGUUGACUUAGUUAAAGAGACCAGAGAGAAAGUUAAGGUGAUUCACGAUUGUUUGAAGGCCGCUUCGGAUAGACAGAAAUCCUACGCGGAUUUGAAACAGAAAGAGAUCAAGUUUAAAGUCGGGGAUAAAGUGUUUUUAAAAGUAUCCCCGUAGAAGAGGGUUCUCCAAUUCAGAAGGAAAGGCAACUUAAGUCCACGGUUUGUUGGACUUUAUGAGGUGACUAGGAGAAUUGGACCAGUAGCAUACUGAUUAGCAUUGCCAUCAGAUUUAGAAAAGAUACACAAAUGUAUUCCAUGUGUCUAUGUUAUGUCGCUACCAUUUGGACCCCUCGUAUGUGAUCUCGCCGAUAGAGGUUGAGAUUAGCUCAGACAUGACUUAUGGCGAAGAGCCGGUUAAGAUUUUGGCUCGGAAUGUAAAACAAUUAAGGAAUAAGAGUAUUGCACUUGUUAAAGUAUUAUGGCAUAGACAUGGAGUCGAAGAAGCCACAUGGGAGCUCGAGGAGACCAUGAGAGACUGAUACCUGAAUCUAUUCAUCGGUAAGAUUUUCAGGGAUGAAAAUCCCUAAGAGGGAGAAUUGUAACAGGCCGAUUUUGGUCCCAAUCGGAACAGUGGUUUCGGGACCACUAAUCUGAGGGCAGAGAAAUUAUUUUUUUAAUAUUAUCUUAUGUGUUGUGGCAUGAUUAUAUGAGAGUAUGAAAAUUUUGGUGAAUUAAUUUUAGCAAUUUCAUGCUUAAUUGUGAAAAAAGACUAAAUCGCAUAAAGUGUAAAAGUCCUCUUUUGAUAUAGCUAAGGGUUUCAAAUAGCUAGAGAACAUAAAUUGGGGGUCUUUAAAGGGCAAUUAGACCCUUAAAAGACAAGCUAGUUGGCCAUAGAGACAUAAGGAGUCAAAAAGUCAAAAGAUUACUAGGGUUGGUAAUUGAUGACAUUAGCAAAUUGAAUAUUAAAAUAAAUUCAAAGGGGUCAUCUUUCUUCUCCAUUUUCGACCGAAAUAAUAGCCAUUAGAGGGGUUUUUGAAGCUUGAAAUUUCAUCCACUUAGUCUCUCUACAAGUAACUGAUCUUGAUGGUUUUUCUUGAUGAUUUUUGUACUUUUAGAACCCUUGUAGCAUGAGCUUUUAAAUAAGGGGACUAUUUUGCAAAAUGGUUGAAAGUCUAGGGUUUUACCAUUAGAGUGUUCAUGCUGUUUUCUAAAAUUUUAUGGAAGAAAAUGAAUCAUGGUUGUGAAAUAAACAACUUUUGUGAAGUAGUUUUCAUGGAAACCCUAACUAAAGACCAUUUUGCAUAAGUUGUAAAAUAGUUGAUAAAUGUGUGAAAUAAUGAGAAUUGUGGGUUCCUCUUAGUAUAAAAAGUAUUCGGCUAGGCUUUAUUAAUGAGAAAAUGUGAUAAAAAUUGAUUUUCAGGUCUAAGGGAAAAAUGGUCAUUUUGCCCAAUUAUGAAUUUUUGAGUACCUAGAUUAAUAAAAUGAUUAAAUUGUGAAUUUUUAUCAUUAUAGAUCAAGAAUUAAAAAAUUCGGGCCUAGACCGGGAAAAAGCAAAACAAGUGGACUAAGCAGAACUAGUCGUCUAGAUUUUGUAAUUUGAGGUAUGUUGUAUGUAAAUAAUAAAACUACAUUGUUAUUAUAUGUGUUUGAAUUGAUAUAGUAUAAAUUGCUUGUUUGUGGAAAUGAUUAUGUAUGAUGAAUAUUGAGAUAGUAGAACCCCCGUUUGAACCUUAGGAAAUAAAUCGGAUAUUCAUGCCAUGACAUUCGGGUUAUUUGUGUGUCAGUGUAAGACAUGUUUGGGACAUGCAUCGGCAACAUUAUGAGAGCCAGUGUAAGACCAUGUUUGGGACAUGGCAUUGGCAUUGAGAUGAGAGCUAGUGUAAGACAUGUCUAGGACAUGAAUCGGCCUCGAGAUGUAAGCCAGUGUAAGACAUGUCUGGAACAUGCAUCGGCUACGAGAUGUGUCAGUGUAAGACCAUGUCUGGGACAUGGCAUUGGCACGGAUAUGUGAGAGGUAGUGUAAGACCAUGUUUGGGACAUGGCAUCGGCCUCAAUUUUGAUAGUCAGUGUAAGACCAUGUCUGGGACAUGGCAUUGGCUUGAUGGAUGAGCCAGUGUAAGACCAUGUCUGGGACAUGGCUUCAGCAUUAUACCCUAUGUUUGAGCCCUAGUGAAUAUCUGAUAGCAUUCUAAAUUGUUCAACAGUGAGAGUUACAAUUUAAGUUAAACGAGAAAAGUAUAACCAUGUUGUGAGUGGUACAGGUACCUAUUUGAAAUGUAAGAGAUGUGAGCUCAAUAUAUGCUAUGUGAAUUGUAUUAGAUAGUGAUGAGUAAGUUGUGCUUAUGCCUACUUUUUUAUUAUGAGCAUGAUGAUGAAUGGUAAAGUUGUUGUUAUAUUUAUUUGCAUGCAGCUUACGAAGCUUUAUGCUUACUUCCUCUCAUUUCCAUUUUCUUAUAGUGCCGUCUAAUUAGCUCGAGGAUGUUUUGGCAAAGAAUAGAUGGAAUGAAAAUAUGCAAAUGAUAUCUUGAUAUGUAUUUGGUAUAUGAAUGGAUUAUGCAUGAUGUUGAUUAGGUAAUUGGGUAUGUAAAUGUUAGGUUUGAUAUGGAAAAUAAUGUGCAUUGAAAUGGUUAUUAUAAUUGCCAAUUGAGUUAUGAAAUGUGGUCAUUUAUGCUUGUGAAUACUUGUGUCUAUAGGGUGGUAAAUAUGGCUUUGCAAAUAGCCUACUUUUGUCCACACGGGCAGGGACACGGGCGUGUGUCUCACCCGUGUGUGACACACUGUCAUGUUGCACGGCCGUGUGUCCCCUAGUGUUGAAAUGAUAUGGAAGUCUGUAUGCUCCACACGGUCUCACACGGGCAUGUGACCAGCCAUGUGGUAUAAGUCAAUAUACCCUAUAGUUUUGGUACGGCCUGAUACACCGGCCUGUGUGGCCAUUUCCAAGGGCACAUUAGCUAGACACACGGGCGUGUGGUUGGUCGUGAGACCCAAGUCAGUAUCCUCUCUAGUUUUCACACAGCCUGGCAUACGGACAUGUCCUCAACUGUGUGACAUAAGCCAGUAUGUAUGCCCUGUUUCCACACGGUCUAAGACAUGGGCGUGUCUAUUAGCAAUGUGAGGUACAUGUCCUGUUCAUACGGGCGUGUGAUACUUAAAAUGUUGAAAUUUUUCUAAGUUUCUAAAUUUUUCAUAUGUUACCUAUUUAGUCCCGAAUGCAUGAUUUAAAUUUUGUAUGCUCGAUUUAAGUACAUAUUGAAUGAGAAUGAAUGAUAUUUACUGAAAUGAGAUGACAUUUGAUAAAUGAUUAUUCUAAAUUGAGUUACAAGUCCGGUAAUGCCUCUUAACCUAUUUUGGCAAAGGUUACGGGUUAGGGGUGUUACUUGAUCGGCUGCUUGGCCUAGUAGAGCAAAGGGUCACAAAGAGCAUGAAUGAUGAGUUGUUUAAACCUUUUACUGAGGAUGAAAUUUGGCACGUGGUGAAUACGAUGGCACCCGUUAAGGCCUCAAGAAUUGACGGUUUUCCAGCAAUGUUCUAUCAAAGGUAUUGGCAUCUUGUUGGGGCUGAAAUCACUAGCUAUUGUUUGUCUAUUUUAAAAGGGGAGAUUGAUAUGGUGAGAUUAAUAAAACCCAUUUAGUGUUAAUUCCAAAAGUCGAAAAACCGAAAAACCUCUCUCAAUUUCGACCUAUAAGCUUAUGUAAUGUGAUUUAUAAGAUUAUUGCGAAAGUUUUGGUGGAUCGAAUGAGUAUAGCGCUGGGAUACUGUAUUGAUAAAACUCAAGGGGCUUUUAUAUCAGGGAGACAGAUCUCGGAUAAUGUUUUAAUCGCUUAUGAGGUCUUACACUCUCUUAAAAUAAAGAAGAGGAGUAAACGAGGGAAUUUUACGCUUAAACUUUAUAUAAGCAAAGUGUAUGAUUGAGUUGAAUGGGAUUUUUUGCGGUAUGAUGUCUAGGUUAGGUUUCCAUAUAGAUUGGGUCGUUCUCAUCAUACGGUGUGUUUGUUCAGCUACUUAUACGAUGAGCAUUAAUGAGGGUAUUAGUGACUAUUUUUCUCUGUCACGAGGGUUGAGGCAAGGUGUCCCACUCAGCACUUAACUUUUCUUAAUCUGCACUGAAGGUCUUUCUAUAUUGCUAAAUGAGGCAAAACAUAAAAAUCUGAUGAUUGGAGCUCCGAUUGGAAGGGAAAGAUUUCCAAUUAAUCAUUUGCUAUUUGCAGACGAUUGCAUUCUUUUCGGUGAUGCUUUGAAGGAUGGGGCUCAUAUAGUUCAUAAUAUAAUUAUGGAAUAUGAACUGGUUUCGGGGCAACAAGUAAAUUUUGAUAAAUCGCAUAUUUAUUUUGGAGCAAGUGUGGGCCGACAUGAGAAGGUUUCGGUCACCAACAUUCUGGGAGUUUGGAUGGCUACAAAUCCGGAGAAAUAUUUGGGCUUCCCAAUGAUGGUUGGGAAAAAAAAGAGAUGGGCUUUUGCAAAUUUUGUGGACAGAUUCAGACGGAGGAUUGAGAGUUGGAGUCUCCGGUAUCUUUCGAUUGGGAUAAGGAAGUGUUCAUCAAUGUGGUGUUACAAGCAAUUCCUGUAUACGUUAUGCAAUGCUUUGCUUUACCAAAAACCUUAUGUCAAAUGCUAGAAGGUAUUUUGAACAAAUUUUGGUGGUCUAAUAGUCAAACUGCUAAAGGUAUUCAUUGGAUGGAGUGAGCUAUGUAUUCCCAAAGCUGAUGGUUGGCUAGGAUUUCGGGACCCCUUUUUGUUUAAUAAAGCUUUCUUAGCUAAGCAAGUUUGGCGACUUCUAUCCCAGCCCGAUUUUCUUUUAGCGAAAGUCUUUAAAGCUUGUUAUUAUCCUUUUACAGGUAUUAUGUCAGCUAGAGUUAGUUCUUACUCCUCAUUUACCUGGAGAAGCAUAUGCAGUGCUAGGGAGCUAAUUGCGAAUGGUUUACUUUGGCGAAUUGGUUGUGGUGAGGCUAUGAAUAUUUGGAAUGAUCCUUGGCUGCCUGGUCCUGGUAAUAGUAGGGUAUUAAUUCAGAAUAUUAGUAACCAUUGGACUAUAGUGAACCAUUUAAUUUAUGUAAAUUCGGAUACCUGGAACUAGGAAGUGAUCUAUAGGAUUGUUGACCAUGAACAAGCUAGUCCCAUUUUCAAUAUUCCCCUUGUAAUUUUCAGAGCACAGGAUAUGCUGGUUUGGCAUCAUGAUGCCACUGGGGAAUACUCAGUGAAGAGUGGGUAUCGAGCUUUAGUUACAGGAAAAAUUUAGCAUUCUGAAUACAACUCGAAUACUACAGACAAUUAGAAGAAAUUUUACAAGUUGAUUUGAGAUAUACAACUUCCUUCUAAAAUUAAAAUACACAUGUGGCGGUUACUCAAAGAUUAUGUACCUCACUUUAAUAACUUUAAUCAAACGAAGACUAAGAGUUGACAAUGUUUGGCCUCAGUGCAAGGAGGCUCCGGAGGAUUUUGACCACUUAUUGUGGUAUUGUGGUGUCUUAUGGCAACUCUGGCAGUCCUUGAAUCUCUCGAUUGAUCUCAAUAGGAAUACCUCGGAUUAUAAAAUUCAGUUAGUAAGCAUUUUUAUUGCAGCUUAAGAGGGUACCAAAAAAAUGUUACUCAUUUCUUUUUGGGCUUUUUGGUUUAAACAAAAUAAGACGAUUCAUGAAGAUCUUAAAUUCUCUAUGCAGGAUCUUUUGGGUUUUGUCUAGUGUUAUGUACAAGAAUUGAGUUUGAGUAAAUCUACUGUUUUUCCUCUUAAAUCUAAAGUGACUGAGUUGUGGCGACCCCCAAACCUUGGGUUUAUUAAAUUAAAUUUUGAUGCCUUUUUUAAGGGUGAAUCUAAUACCUCUAUUGUGGCAAUUAUAGCCCGUAAUGAUGUGGGUCAAAUAAUGGGUGCAUGUACUUACCCUUAUGUAGGCGUUGCAGAUGAUUUUGUUGCAGAAGCUAGGGCUUGUAAACAAGCACUCCUCUUUGCGAUUGAUAUGGGUUUCAGGGUGGUCAUUUUGGAAGGGGAUUCCUUAACAAUUAUCAAAAAAACUUAUGUUAUGGUUCAAACGGAAGUGGCUUACCAUUUUGUCCCAAGAGAUGUUAAUAGGGUAGCUCAUACUCUAGUUACGGAGGGGCGUAGGUGACUCUCACCAUAUUUUUGGGUUGAAGAGGCACCAGAUUCUGUCGAAAAAUUGGUGCCAGAGGACUGGUCUAAUUGGCUUCGUCAGCGAUGAUGAGUUUUUCAUUGGGCUUUGAAGUUUGGAGAAGGUUCUUUGAAUCUCCAAUGUUGGUUUUUCAAAGUUGUUUCCCUUUCUCGUUUUGGCUGCGAUGGUUUUCUGACGUUAAACGGAAAGGUUUUGGCCGGUAUUCUUUGUUGGGUGUUCUUUUGGGGAUUGUUUGUGAUUUUUUCGUUUAUGGCUUUGGUUUUUUGUGUGCUUUCAUUUUCUUGUUUUGUUUUGGCAAUAUUUGCUUUUGUUGUCUUUUCAUUUUUCUUUGUGGUGUUUGUUUUGUUAGAUAUUUUUUGAGCCAGUCCCUUUAUUAAUGAAUACCUAUUUUCGAAGCA
rnacentral:lncRNA from 1 species